ACAAUGAAGAGUUUGAUCCUGGCUCAGGAUGAACGCUAGCGGCAGGCUUAACACAUGCAAGUCGAGGGGCAGCGGGAGUAGCAAUACUUGCCGGCGACCGGCGCAAGGGUGCGUAACGCGUGAGCAACAUGCCCGUAUCAGGGGGAUAAUCCAGGGAAACUUGGUCUAAUACCGCAUAAUAAUCAUUUGGGGCAUCUUGGAUGAUUUAAAAUUUCGAUGGAUACGGAUUGGCUCGCGUGACAUUAGCUGGAUGGUAGGGUAACGGCCUACCAUGGCUACGAUGUCUAGGGGUUCUGAGAGGAAGGUCCCCCACACUGGAACUGAGACACGGUCCAGACUCCUACGGGAGGCAGCAGUGAGGAAUAUUGGACAAUGGAUGGAAAUCUGAUCCAGCCAUGCCGCGUGCAGGAAGACGGCCCUAUGGGUUGUAAACUGCUUUUGUAUGGGAGCAAUAAGGGCUACGUGUAGUCCGAUGAGAGUACCAUACGAAUAAGGACCGGCUAACUCCGUGCCAGCAGCCGCGGUAAUACGGAGGGUCCGAGCGUUAUCCGGAUUUAUUGGGUUUAAAGGGUGCGUAGGCGGUUUUAUAAGUCAGCGGUGAAAUUUUCCGGCUCAACCGGGAUACUGCCGUUGAUACUGUAAGGCUAGGAUAUGGUUGCUGUGGGUGGAAUGUGUGGUGUAGCGGUGAAAUGCUUAGAGAUCACACAGAAUAUCGAUUGCGAAGGCAGCUCACAAAGCCAUUAUUGACGCUGAGGCACGAAAGUGUGGGGAUCAAACAGGAUUAGAUACCCUGGUAGUCCACACUGUAAACGAUGAUAACUCGCUGUCGGCGAUAUAAAGUCGGUGGCCAAGCGAAAGCGAUAAGUUAUCCACCUGGGGAGUACGACCGCAAGGUUGAAACUCAAAGGAAUUGACGGGGGCCCGCACAAGCGGAGGAACAUGUGGUUUAAUUCGAUGAUACGCGAGGAACCUUACCCGGGCUCGAACGGUGCAGGAAUACUACAGAGAUGUAGUAGCUAGCAAUAGUCUGUAUCGAGGUGCUGCAUGGUUGUCGUCAGCUCGUGCCGUGAGGUGUCGGCUUAAGUGCCAUAACGAGCGCAACCCUUGUCGUUAGUUGCCAUCAGGUCAAGCUGGGAACUCUAACGAGACUGCCACCGUAAGGUGUGAGGAAGGGGGGGAUGACGUCAAAUCAGCACGGCCCUUACGUCCGGGGCGACACACGUGUUACAAUGGCAGGUACAGAGGGGAGCUACCCAGCGAUGGGGUGCGAAUCUCGAAAGCCUGUCUCAGUUCGGAUUGGAGUCUGCAACUCGACUCCAUGAAGUUGGAUUCGCUAGUAAUCGCGCAUCAGCCAUGGCGCGGUGAAUACGUUCCCGGGCCUUGUACACACCGCCCGUCAAGCCAUGGAAGCCGGGGGUGCCUGAAGUUCGUGACCGCAAGGAGCGACCUAGGGCAAAACUGGUAACUGGGGCUAAGUCGUAACAAGGUAGCCGUACCGGAAGGUGUGGCUGGAACACCUCCUUU
rnacentral:rRNA from 1 species